rnacentral:rRNA from 1 species
UACAGAGGUCUCAAGCGUUGUUCGGAUUCAUUGGGCGUAAAGGGUGCGUAGGUGGCGCCGUAAGUCAGGUGUGAAAUUUCGGAGCUCAACUCCGAAACUGCAUUUGAUACUGCGGUGCUUGAGGACUGGAGAGGAGACUGGAAUUCACGGUGUAGCAGUGAAAUGCGUAGAUAUCAGGAGGAACACCAAUGGCGAAGGCAGCUCGCUGGAACGGUACUGACGCUGAGGCGCGAAAGCGUGGGGAGCGAACAGG